rnacentral:misc_RNA from 1 species
GAUGAAGAACGUAGCGAAAUGCGAUAAGUAAUGCGAAUUGCAGAAUUUCCGUGAGUCAUCGAAUCUUUGAACGCACAUUGCGCCCUUUGGUAUUCCUUAGGGCAUGCCUGUUCGAGCGUCAUUUGAAACCUCAAGCUCAGCUUGGUGUUGGGUGUCUGUCCCCGCCUCACCGCGGGGACUCGCCUCAAAAUCAUUGGCGGCCGGUACGUUGGCUUCGAGCGCAGCAGAAACGCGAACUCGAGGCCCGGCGGAUCGGCGACCAGAAGUCACUUCUUCACAGUUUGACCUCGGAUCAGGUAGGGAUACCCGCUGAACUUAAGCAUAUCAAUAAGCGGAGGA